AAGAGUGCGUAAUAGCUCACUGGUCGAGUGAUCCUGCGCCGAAGAUUUCCGGGGCUAAAACUUACUACCGAAGCUACGGCAUCAGUAAUGAUGGGUAGGGGAGCUUCCCAUACGGGUUGAAGCAUGACCGUAAGGACAUGUGGACAGUAUGGGAGUGAGAAUGUUGGCAUGAGUAGCGAGAUGUGGGUGAGAAUCCCACAGGCCGUAAACCCAAGGUUUCCAGGGGAAGGUUCGUCCGCCCUGGGUUAGUCGGGACCUAAGCUGAGGCCGAAAGGCGUAGGUGAUGGACAACAGGUUGAUAUUCCUGUACUACCGAUAACCGUUUGAGAGAAGGGAUGACACAGUAGGAUAAGCUAAGCACACUGUUGGUUAUGUGUGCCCAAGCAUUGAGGCAGUCAAAGUAGGCAAAUCCGCUUUGAUAAUGCUGGGAUGUGAUGGGGAGCGAAAUUUAGUAGCGAAGUAGCUGAUUUCACACUGUCAAGAAAAGUCUCUAUCGAGGUUAAAGGUACCCGUACCGCAAACCGACACAGGUGGGUGAGGAGAGUAUCCUAAGGCCAGCGAGAGAACUGUUGUUAAGGAACUCGGCAAAAUGACCCCGUAACUUAGGGAUAAGGGGUGCCACCAUCAGGUGGCCGCAGAGAAUAGGCCCAAGCGACUGUUUACCAAAAACAUAGGUUUCUGCUAAGUCGCAAGACGAUGUAUAGGAGCUGACGCCUGCCCGGUGCUGGAAGGUUAAGGGGAUCUGUUAGAGCAAUCG
rnacentral:rRNA from 1 species